rnacentral:rRNA from 1 species
GACGAACGCUGGCGGCGUGCUUAACACAUGCAAGUCGAGCGGUAAGGCCCUUUCGGGGGUACACGAGCGGCGAACGGGUGAGUAACACGUGGGUGACCUGCCCUCAGCUCUGGGAUAAGCCUGGGAAACCGGGUCUAAUACCGGAUAUGACUCCAUGACGCAUGUUGUGGGGUGGAAAGCCUUGUGCGGCUGAGGAUGGGCCCGCGGCCUAUCAGCUUGUUGGUGGGUGAUGGCCUACCAAGGCGACGACGGGUAGCCGGCCUGAGAGGCGACCGGCCACACUGGGACUGAGACACGGCCCAGACUCCUACGGGAGGCAGCAGUGGGGAAUCUUGCGCAAUGGGCGAAAGCCUGACGCAGCGACGCCGCGUGAGGGAUGACGGCCU